rnacentral:rRNA from 1 species
GCUUAACCUUCGGGGGGGCGCUUACCACUUUGUGAUUCAUGACUGGGGUGAAGUCGUAACAAGGUAACCGUAGGGGAACCUGCGGUUGGAUCACCUCCUUACCUUAAAGAAGC